rnacentral:rRNA from 1 species
UACGGAGGAGGCAAGCGUUAUCCGGAAUUAUUGGGCGUAAAGCGUCCGCAGGUGGCGAUUCAAGUCUGCGGUUAAAGACUGGGGCUUAACCCUGGAAAGGCCGUGGAAACUGAAACGCUAGAGUGCAGUAGGGGUAGAGGGUAUUCCCGGUGUAGCGGUGAAAUGCGUAGAGCUCGGGAAGAACAUCGGUGGCGAAAGCGCUCUGCUGGACUGCAACUGACACUCAGGGACGAAAGCUAGGGGAGCGAAUGGG